GCCUGGGUGGCUCAGUCAGUUAAGCAUCCAACUUUGGCUUGGGUCAUGAUCUCAUGGCUCGUGGGUUCGAGCCCCGCAUCAGGCU
rnacentral:tRNA from 1 species